rnacentral:rRNA from 1 species
AUUGAACGCUGGCGGCAUGCUUUACACAUGCAAGUCGGACGGCAGCACAGAGAAGCUUGCUUCUUGGGUGGCGAGUGGCGAACGGGUGAGUAAUAUAUCGGAACGUACCGAGUAAUGGGGGAUAACUAAUCGAAAGAUUAGCUAAUACCGCAUAUUCUCUGAGGAGGAAAGCAGGGGACCUUCGGGCCUUGCGUUAUUCGAGCGGCCGAUAUCUGAUUAGCUAGUUGGUGGGGUAAAGGCCUACCAAGGCGACGAUCAGUAGCGGGUCUGAGAGGAUGAUCCGCCACACUGGGACUGAGACACGGCCCAGACUCCUACGGGAGGCAGCAGUGGGGAAUUUUGGACAAUGGGCGCAAGCCUGAUCCAGCCAUGCCGCGUGUCUGAAGAAGGCCUUCGGGUUGUAAAGGACUUUUGUCAGGGAAGAAAAGGCUGUUGCUAAUACCGACAGCUGAUG